GGGGAAUUUUGCACAAUGGGGGAAACCCUGAUGCAGCGACGCCGCGUGAUUUAGAAGGCCUUCGGGUUGUAAAAAUCUUUUGUAUAGGAAGAAAAUGACAGUACUAUACGAAUAAGGUCCGGCUAAUUACGUGCCAGCAGCCGCGGUAAUACGUAAGGACCGAGCGUUGUCCGGAAUCAUUGGGCGUAAAGGGUACGUAGGCGGGUCAUUAAGUUAGAAGUCAAAGGCUAUAGCUCAACUAUAGUAAGCUUCUAAAACUGGAGACCUUGAGUAAUGGAAGGGAAAGUGGAAUUCCUAGUGUAGCGGUGGAAUGCGCAGAUAUUAGGAGGAAUACCGGUGGCGAAGGCGACUUUCUGGCCAUUAACUGACGCUGAGGUACGAAAGCGUGGGUAGCAAACAGGAUUAGAUACCCUGGUAGUCCACGCCGUAAACGAUGAGUGUUAGGUGUCUGGAGUAAAUCUGGGUGCCGCAGCUAACGCAUUAAACACUCCGCCUGGGGAGUACGCACGCAAGUGUG
rnacentral:rRNA from 1 species